rnacentral:rRNA from 1 species
GAUGAACGCUGGCGGCGUGCCUAAUACAUGCAAGUCGAGCGAACAGAUAAGGAGCUUGCUCCUUUGACGUUAGCGGCGGACGGGUGAGUAACACGUGGGUAACCUACCUAUAAGACUGGAAUAACUCCGGGAAACCGGGGCUAAUGCCGGAUAACAUUUAGAACCGCAUGGUUCUAAAGUGAAAGAUGGUUUUGCUAUCACUUAUAGAUGGACCCGCGCCGUAUUAGCUAGUUGGUAAGGUAAUGGCUUACCAAGGCAACGAGACGUAGCCGACCUGAAAGGGUGAUCGGCCACACUGGAACUGAGACACGGUCCAGACUCCUACGGGAGGCAGCAGUAGGGAAUCUUCCGCAAUGGGCGAAAGCCUGACGGAGCAACGCCGCGUGAGUGAUGAAGGGUUUCGGCUCGUAAAACUCCGUUAUUAGGGAAGAACAAACGUGUAAGUAACUGUGCACGUCUUGACGGUACCUAAUCAGAAAGCCACGGCUAACUACGUGCCAGCCGCCGCGGUAA